UCUUGGUCGUUCCUUGCUCUGCGCAUCGCUUGAAAACCGGCGGUCAUACUCCAGUGUACGCUGCCAGCGUGCUUUAUUGCCAGAGCCGCCUCCCCUUCUGGUGAUGACCAUAUGCAGCCAAUGCUGAUGUGAACCUGAGUGAUGAACAAAUGCAGAUCUGCAAAGGAGCUGUCCUGAGGCACCAUGCUUACUCAAGUCACGCAGUGAGAGUCAGCAUGCCUGGAAAAGUACUUCAAAGCACACCCCAUCUGGCUCGCUGCACUGCCUCAAGAAAACUGCCUUUCUCCCAUCUGCAAGUUCCUAAGAAGUUGCUUUAUGAAGCAAGCCAGCAGGGUGUACGUGUUAGGCAUGGCAGCACGGAGAACAAAUAAACAUGAGUAUUUGGUGCAA
rnacentral:lncRNA from 1 species